CCUAAAGAUAUCCUGACUGUGCAGUGUCCACACAGAUUGUCUGAUGAAAAGAACGAGCAAAGCGUCUGCGAAGCCGACAUAUUCAGUGUCCCCUUCGUCUAGAGGCCUAGGACACCGCCCUUUCACGGCGGUAACAGGGGUUCGAAUCCCCUAGGGGACGCCACUUGCUGAUAUCGGGUGAAAGACGGUAUCAAACGAUAUCUCAAAACUGACUUGCGAGUCAUGUUUGAGAUAUUUGCUCUUUAACAAUCUGGAACAAGCUGAAAAUUGAAACGAUUGAACGCUUCUUGACGUAAGAAGUGGUUCAACGAGUCUCUCAAAUGUUUGCAACGCGAAGUGAAACAUCUUCGGGUUGUGA
rnacentral:sRNA from 1 species